rnacentral:rRNA from 1 species
UACGUAGGGGGCAAGCGUUGUCCGGAAUCAUUGGGCGUAAAGAGCGUGUAGGCGGCUCGGUAAGUCCGCUCUGAAAGCCCGGGGCUCAACCCCGGGAGGCGGGCGGAUACUGUCGGGCUAGAGUCCGGAAGAGGCGAGUGGAAUUCCUGGUGUAGCGGUGAAAUGCGCAGAUAUCAGGAGGAACACCAAUGGCGAAGGCAGCGCGCUGGGACGGUACUGACGCUGAGACGCGAAAGCGUGGGGAGCAAACAGG